CGGCGGGGCGUGGUGCGCGCGGCCGCGCUGGGAUCCGGCCGCACCAAAUAUAGUCGGGCCUGGCUAUUUUUAGCCAGGGCUCGGGCGCGAGCGCGGCGCGUGAGGGGGCGCCCUGACCCCUCCAGGAGUGCGGAGGGGGUGGGGGGGUAGCCAUCUUGGACUCCGCUCGAACCCGUCUGGUGACCGGCGACGCUGGUCCGGGCUUGGCGCUGGGGGUCGGGGGUAGGAAUCAAGAAAAUGCAAA